UACGAAGGGUGCGAGCGUUAUUCGGAAUUAUUGGGCGUACAGGGUGCGUAGACGGCAUGUUAAGUCAACUGUUAAAUUCCCCGGCCUAACUGGGGUCCGGCAGUAGAUACUGGCAAGCUAGAGGGUGGAAGAGAGAAGUGGAAUUCUCGGAGUAGCGGUAAAAUGCGUAGAUCUCGAGAGGAACACCGAUGGCGAAGGCAGCUUCUUGGUCCAUUUCUGACGUUGAGGCACGAAAGCGUGGGGAGCAAACAGG
rnacentral:rRNA from 1 species